UACGGAGGGGGCUAGCGUUGUUCGGAAUUACUGGGCGUAAAGCGCAUGUAGGCGGCGCGUUUAGUCGGGGGUGAAAGGCCUGGGCUCAACCCAGGAACUGCCUUCGAUACUGACGUGCUGGAGUCCGGGAGAGGGUAGCGGAAUUCCCAGUGUAGAGGUGAAAUUCGUAGAUAUUGGGAAGAACACCGGUUGCGAAGGCGGCUACCUGGCCCGGUACUGACGCUGAGGUGCGAAAGCGUGGGGAGCAAACAGG
rnacentral:rRNA from 1 species